GGACUCUUAGCGCAAUUGGUAGCGCAUUCGCUUGCGUUAGGUGAGGGCCUUUCUAACGGUAUGCGAAAGGGCGUAGGUUCAAUUCCUACAGAGUCCA